UUUUUCGAUAGCGCGAUCGUAUAAAGCGGAUCGAAUGAACUUUUGUCCGUAUUUAUUGCUAAAAAAUAAAAGUCCUCUUAACACAUAAUGAUAAAUCAUAUUACCGAUAAAUGGCAAAAGAACAAAAAAAAAAUUGGAACAUUGAUUUAUCGGUCGAUUAUCGCCCAGCCCAAGUCCGCUCCGUGACGACGUUGCGGCGACAAAAUUCGAGAUCAAUAAAGAUUGCGACGGCGUCGCGCAUGACUGAAUUGUCUUGCGAAUUGUAACAAUCUUGAGGUUAUGAUGACGACCGGGGCCAGGUUGAUUCCAGUUGAUUCUGUCUUCUAGCUCGCGCGAAGUCCGUACAAACGUAAGCGACACAGUGACAGUCCUCGAUUAAGAAGCACGACGAUGUUCGAGGGGGCUAUAGCGGCAUUUUUGAACCGCCUGCUGGGCAGGUAUGUGGAGGACCUAGACACGGAGCAGUUUAACGUCGGUAUUUUCUCCGGGGAUACAUGCCUCACCGAUCUGAAAUUGAAGCCAGAGGCUUUGUAUCAACUGGGAUUACCUAUUAGAGUAGAAAUUGGCCUGAUAGGGAAAAUUAUUUUGAAAAUACCAUGGUCUGGACUCUUCUCGCAACCUAUUGUGAUAUGCAUAGAGGACAUAUACGCAGUUGCAGUACCUGCAUUAUCUGGUCCUUACGACCCAGAGAUACAGAAACGUUUAAUAAGAGCCGAGAAAAAGAAGAUACUUGAGGAUUUAAAGGAUGAUGAAAUAUUUAGAGCUGGUCUACCUCCUCAACUAUUUGAUGGUUUAUUGGCGUCAGUUACAAAGAACUUCCAAAUUACUAUAAAUAAUGUACAUAUUAGAUAUGAAGAGAAGAUUUUGCGCAAUUUCCUCUGUGCCUGUGGUAUAUGUAUACAAAGUAUAUCGAUAACAACUACAAACAACAAAUGGAAGCCUGGAGUAUGCGCCACGAAUUCGCAGACUGUGUACCAGCUUAUACGCGCAGAAUCACUCAGUGUGUACAUGGACCAUGAUACGGAAUCCUGUAUAAAUGUUCCGUGUAAUUGGGACAUGCCUAAUCUUUUCGCAUGGAAGAGCGCGAUGCAUCGAGCCCUGCAGACAUUCGGGAUGAAGAAUAAAGACUUUCAGUUUCUGUUAAAGCCUUUCACAGCCAAGAUCAAGGUCAUUAUACACAAAGGCACAGAGACACAAGCUUCUCGUAUGCUAGUCGAUAUUGUUCUGCAAGACGUGGCGAUGCAACUGUCGGAGGCGCAAUAUGCCACAUUUUGUCACAUCCACGACUCCUUAUUGCGAGCGAUAAUUAACAGGCCACAUCUGAAAUUUCGCCCUGAGAGGAGCGUGUACGAGGAACCGUCGUCUUGGUGGAAAUACGCGUACAAUUCUAUUUUGAAUUAUUAUGUCAAACCGUACACUUGGUCGCACAUUGUCGAGCACAGGCAAAAUUACCGGAAGUACAAAGAGGCGUGUAUCCAAAGUCUGCAACGACCGAACGAUACCGAGCUGAAGUUGGACCUGCAGAAGUACCAGGACAGUCUGACAAUACUAAAUAUCGUGAUAGCAAGAGAGCACGCUAGGCAAGAAUUGCGAAAUAAGGAUAUCGAGCGCGAGUGCCAAAUCAUCGCAGCGAGUCCUUCGAAGGACGUCAGCGCAGAGAGCAUAUUAACGAGCAACGACGAGAUGCAGAAUGCAGCAACGGACCACAGUAAAAGCGAAAGUCAAAAGUUGUCGAUAGAUGUAGCGGAAAAUUCAUCCAGCUCCAAAACGAAAUUAGAGAAAUUAGAGAAAACGCUGAAGCAAAUCGAUUACAAAUUAAACUUUACUUUGGCGAAUUGUUGCCUUAGUCUUCUGAACAAGGGUAAAGAGAUGCUGGUCGUGACAGUCGCGCAGUUCCUCACUAGCAUCGAGGCACGACCUACGUUGUUAGCUUUCAAGAUUUCCGCUCGCGCUGAAAGUUUUGUCAUCGAAGCUAUAUCAUCCGAUGGUGAUUUGAUUCCUCUGGUUACGGUGGAUAAUGUGUUAACAGGAAACGUAUCGACAUAUUUCUUGGCGAUAGAUUUCGAGAAGAAUAGACUGAACAUGGAUCCUAUUUUUGAAGUAUCUAUAAAACUGGAGGCUAUCGAAGUGACUUAUCAUCAUUUCGCUAUGGUGGAGAUGAUCAACUUCUUCAAAUUUAACAUCAGUUACAUCCACGACACAGUCCUCGGAUUGUACAAAUUGUGGGAUUACAUCACGAGAAAAUAUCUGAGCUUCAUAGACGACAUCGUUUCGCAGACGUUGAGGAUCAGCUUCAAGAUAGACAUCAAAAGCCCGUACAUUAUAUUCCCCGAAUACGGAUCGAUUCAGAAAGGAGGACACAUACUCGUCUUGGAUCUCGGCAACAUCACGUUGACGAAUGAACUUCAAGCGACGAAUCUGCAAUUGGAGGAUGCCACGCUGAUGGAGUUGGAGGAAUUGCUGUAUGACCGACUCAACAUGAUAUUCUCCGGCGCGCAAAUUUUGUUCUGUCAUUCGGGCGACGAUUGGCGCUUGGCGAGGAAGCGCAGCGACUCGGAAUACCAUUUGCUGCCCAAGCUGCAAGCGAACGCGACGCUUUCGUACAGCAUCAAGCCCGAAUAUCGCCAAUUGCCACGAACGAAGCUCAACGUGCACAUCUCGAACGUGAAGUUCAACUUGUCGGAAAGUAAAUUGCGGCUGAUGGCGUACUUCUUGAAUAAGUUGCUACUAUUAUACCAAGACAAUGUCGAGAAAUACAAAGUCGUCCUGAACGGCUCUGCUGUCGAGCGGAAAUCGAACAUGGCUUUUAUCUCGGCGAAAGAACUGAUAAGAGUGCAGUCCAGUAUAUGUCUGCCGUCCGUUACAAUGAUGCACAGUGAUUUUAAAUCUGUCGUCAAAGAAGUCACGACCGUGCCGAAGUGUGUGCCGAAGCUUGACAGGAGUGUUGUCUCGUCGGAAGUCAGCGAGGAGGACCUGGAACUAUUGUCUAAGACGAUCAACUUGUCCGGAUUUGAUGACAAUAUAUCACCGUGCAAUCACAUUAAUUUGUUACUACGCUUCGCUAUAGGAGAGUUUUCCAUCAACCUGGAGCAUACGGUGGAUAAUCGAGAGCAGCCUUACUUGAACCUGAGACUGCACACCUUGUACUAUGAGACAGCGAUGAUGGAGUACGGCGUCGCUGUUCAAUUCGGCAUCGGGUCCAUUCUUCUGGUCGAUAAGACGAACGCUGGCGUCACCGGGUCGUACUUGGAAUUGAUAUCUACCGAUCAGGCUUACGAGGUUUUCGUUGUAUCAUACCGUAAGGUCAAAUCGAAUUGCCCCGACUUCAAGUCGCACUUCAAGAAUAUCGAACGCUCGCUGAUUGUGAAUCUGCUGAAUAUCAAUGUAAACUUCCAUAGAUCCGCUUUAUUGAAGAUGAGAGACUAUUGGCACAGAUUUCAGACUAUUUGCCAUGGUACGAUUUUAUUUAAGUUCGCCGAGAAAGUGUGCAGCAAUAUUAUGAAACGGGAACAAAAGGGCGACGACCCGCCUAUCCCUCCAGGUGCCAUCAAACUGAAUUAUUCCACCAGGCUUAGCUCGCUGGUUCUGCGAUUCUGUGAUAAGGACAUAGAUCUGAUGGAGAUCAAGAUUGCGGGUCUAGAGAACGAUUGCAUCUACAAUGCGAACGAAAGAAUGGUGUUGCGCGUACAUCUUCGGAGCAUAUUCGCUGAAGAUUUGAACGACGACACGCUUUACUCCAAAAUUUUGACAACCGACGAGGAUAAGGUUUUCGACCUGAAAUAUGUAAGGCACAUGCCAAGGUUGUACAAGUGCCCAGAUAUCGAUACAAAUCAGGAUGAUGUGAUGUCAGACGGCACUUUCAAGCUUUCCAUUGGACGAAUAAAUUGCGUAAUCAUUUCUAAAAUUCUAUAUGAUUUACAGAAUUUCAUAACGCCAUUCACUUCUGUGUACUACACGCGUUUCUUGAACUAUCUGAGAGACAAAUUCGUCGGGGGCAUUCAGGUGUUUAAGAGAAGCGCGACGAAAUUGCACAUUUUUAUUGAUAUACAAGGACCUACAUUCUUGCUACCUCAGAAGAAGGACGCUCCGAGUCUCUUGGUCUUCGACACAGGUGUACUAUCGGUUGAGAACUUCUUCAAGAAGAGCGGUCAAUCGGCACAAUCAAAUAAAGCGUCCGUCAGCGACGUCAAUCAACUAAUAAUCGACAAUAUUCUGGUGAAACUGAAAUCCAUGACUAUAUCUAGAGCAAUUAUGACUCUCACUCGAGACUUGGAGGUUCAGGAACCUAUUAUCGAACCUAUUCAAAUCCAGUUUGACAUCAAGAGGAAAACGGAGUAUCGUAGCAUCAUCGAGCUUCAAGCCUAUGGCUUGUUUAAUGUGCAGGGAGCGAUCGAUAUCGUGAAUAUAAACUUGAGCCAGAGAGAUCUCAAGUCUCUCAUGUCAGUGUGGCAGGAUAAUAUCUCCAAGAUUCUCUUGCUUAAGAAAGCUGGCGAGAACGAAGAUCGAACGUCAACGCUAAGCUGUCAAAAGAACGUCAAGCACGACGACGCUAUGGUGAAGAAGUUGGAGGACUUUUUAGCUCAUAACGAGACAGCCUUGUGCGAGGUGAAUGUAAAGCUCACGUUGGAAGGAUUACAACUGAACUUGUUCUUAGACACGGAAGAGGUAUUAAGUUCUCCCGUACGCGACUUGAAUCACGGGCUAUGCAAACUGAGCUUCGGUGAAACAAUAAAUACCUGGGACUUUUACAGUGACAAGAGCUUGAAAAUGAAGUUAUCUUUGCAAAAUUGCUUGUUGCAAGAUACUCGCAAAGAGUCCGUUAGCGAGAGAAAAAUAAUACAGUCGCCGGCGAUAUCCUUAGAGAAGAAUUUAGAAUCCUGUAUCUCUGUAUCGAUGUCUCCUAUAGUCGAUGUCACGUAUAGUCGUACUCAAGCGGAGGAGAAGUGUCUCGAUGUUCUCAUUCAAGAUGUACGAAUUAAUUUAUCCGUUCCUUUCCUGAUGCAUUUGGGCCGGUAUUUCUUGGAUUCCUUGCCUGGCGAGCAGAUCGAGAAAGGAAUCAUCAAUCAUGGAUACGAUAAUAAUAAUCAGACUAACCGGAAUGCUUUGAACGCAGAAACCGACAAAUUAAAUCGUUCACAGUAUUUUAAGGAGCAACCAGGUACGUCCGUGUCUAUUAGGAUACAGAAGCCAGAUAUCUUUCUAUUUGGCGAUUUAGAGAAAAGCAACACCCACGUAAUACGCAUGCAAGCGGAGGUGUUUAUCGAGAGUAGCAGGCACAGUUGUUCCUCGUCGAUAGUCUGCACUCUGACCAAUGUCAAUGCCAAAACUAAAGGGCAGGGGAAUUACGAGUCCCCAUGUUGGUUGUUACGUCCCUGUGAUAUAGAAAUCUGUAAGAAGAAAGAAUUAUCGAGCGGUAAUGAGGAGAUUACCGUCGCUAUAAAUAGUAUUAAUAUACACCUAUCAGCGGAAGUAGUGCACACUUUUGUGGAUAUAUUGAACGAAGCGUCGAUUUUUCUAAACAGCAUUAGUUUGAAAGCGGAUGACGGUAGCAACAAUCAAAAUACAAACAUGCACAAUAAUCUUUGGACACCGAGGAAAGUUUCUAGCAUACCAUAUAAGAAAACCGACGAAGGCGAUUCAGAACUGUUUUGUCGUCGCCAUGAUCAUGUAAUAUUCAACCUGAAACCCGUGUUGGUGUGUUUGUUGCUGGAGAUGGAAUACUCAAUAGGAAGAUUUCCGGUAAUGAGAAUGGAAGCCAUCAUUACAACUACCGUCAACGACUGGCACAACAGUUUUCAUCUCGAGUCCAAUGUGAAGCUCCACGCGUUCUGCUACAAUAGAGCACAUCAGUCUUGGGAACCGCUUGUGGAAUUUUGCACAAAUGACGACGUGAACUACAAGCCGUGGGAGUUCACCAUUAAAACGUAUCAAGCUGAGGCGAAUAUGAUCAAUUCUAAUUGGAUAGAUCCUUACCAUCACAUAAAGCAAGAUCCAAUGAAAGUAAAAAAGAGGGAUAUGAGACAUAAUGGGCAAGAUGUUAUGGACAUGGUCUUUAUCGGACCUGACGUGGAUGCGAUUUCGUCCACGAGGAAUGCAGAGCCUGAGACUUACGUUACAUGCGAGGACGAAUCCGAUACAGACGACGAUGAGAGCGACAAGAAGCUAGCGAGGAUCUCGAAUUAUUUAUUCAAUAGUAACAGCAGCGACGAAGAAGAAAGCGACUCGGACGACUCGAGCACAAACGAGGACGAGGGAUUGGACUUUGUGCUGGAUUGUAACGCUGAGUCUUGUCACCCCGCUGCGCCAGCGAAGAUGAAUCUCUCUGCGCCGCAUAUUAUUCUGUAUACAGAGGAGAAGAUUAACAUCACUGUCACGCAGAACAUGAUCGAAACAUGGAACGCAAUCAUGAGCGCGUUCGUGCAGGCCAAGGGUGGACUCCCUUUUGUGCCCACUAACACACGGGGAUUGACUGUGUUGAACGAUAUCGGUCAUGCCAGCCGAAUAGAACUGCUUGUUCAAGAACAGGUUGAUGGGAACAGUGUUAUACGCGUCAUCGCUACGCAUAACUUCCACGAUGGCAGCUCGCCGAUCAGCGUACCCAGCAGCCCAGAAAAUGAAACGCAGACUGAUUUCACGAGUCCUCAGUGGGUCGGCAAGGAUAUCCAUCUUGUUAUGCCAGAAUGCAAAGCUUUUCCCAUAGACUCGCCGGUCCACAUCUACAAAUCGAUAACCGGUGAACUUCUUCGCGUCGUUUUCGAAGGUUUCGAGGAAGUGUUGGUGUACUGCCCGAAGAAAGAAACGCGUAAUCUCGUAUCGCUUCGCCCUGUAAAACAUGAAGUUCGUUAUUACUUGGUGAUAGAAGCGUCGAUAAACAGCUAUCUGCACCGUACAAUUUGCGUGCGAUCUCCACUGCAGUUUCGAAACGAAACGUCGUACGCGCUGGGCCUCUAUUAUAAGAAAGCGGUAGUAGACAAGUUGGGUCUGAUACCAGCUGGCGAGACCACAAAUCCCUUCGACGAUAACGUGAGAAUGGCGAUCAUUGAACCCGACUCGACUUACAAUAUUCCUCUGUACAUCGCUUAUCAUUGUUCGAUAUACGUCCUCCCUGCGUAUCUAGAGAAAUAUCAAGUUAGCGAUGAUGGGAUUUACUGGAAAGACUUGAGGGGUACAACAAAUGCAUUUAAAGACGUAUGCUGCGAAACGAAAGACGACAUUAAUAGUAAUGUAUUCUGUGUCAGGGCGAUAUGCACGGAAGUCCCAUUAACGACCCGACCCUCCGGUUGUCAAGUGCCGAAUUACUUGAUAAAUAUCAUACCACCCGUUAUUUUUAAUAACCAGCUACCCUUCGUCAUCGAUGUCAGUAUACCUAGCAUUAAUUACGAAGUGAAAAUCGAACCCGGGGAGAAAAUCAAUAUGCACUCACUCAAUUGUAACAGUAAUGUGCAGUUUGUCUUCAAGAUACACAACUAUUUAGGCACAUCGUGGAUCGGCACGGUUAAACUGAAUAUGAAUCUGGAACGAAAGUUUGUACUAAUGUCUACAGACAACGAGUCGGAUCUCACGAAGCCCUUCUUGCUGUGCAUAGAACUGUGCAAGAUGCUCAGCUGGAACAUCAUUGUACAGUCGCAAUACUGGAUAAUUAACAAGUCUGGUUUACCGCUGUUUAUUCAGGAGUGUCACACUCAUACAACUUACGAGAUGCCGGAAGAAGAGCUGAUGGUGUUCUCUCAGAAGAACAAUAAAAAAAACACAGUGCGAUUAAGGGCGCAUCAGUCCGAGUGGUCGAUGCCGUUCGGACUGGACGGGAUCACGUCGAUGUCCUUGGUCGUAUGUCGAGAUAUCGAGCGCGGAAGAAAGUAUCAGAUCUUAACGGAGGUGGAAAGCUCUCGUUUGUCGCCGUUCUUCACAAAGAUCAUCACGUUUCUCCCGUACUUCCUCAUCUGCAAUAAAACCAAGAGGGCCCUGAGGUUCAUGGAGGAGAAUGAAGAGGCUGAUCUGUGGAACGAUCUCUUGCCCGCUCAGGAAAUGUCCUUCUGGCCCGUCACCGAGUCCAUGAAGAUGAGAAUCAAGUGGAGGAACAGUCAAUUGGUCUCGCAGCACUUCGACAUCACGCAUGCCGGCAAGACCGUGCUCAGAAUGGACAACGGGUCAGCAUUGUGUGUGGAGAUCGAGGGCGGCAUCAAUACUCCAUAUCGCAUCAUGUUCCGAAAGUAUAACACCGCCGACAUACCCGUGAGAGUGGACAAUCUCUGCGACAAGCUGUUCCUGAAGCUGAACCAAGUCAACUUGGGCCAGGUCGCCUUGCUGAAACCGUUCCAAAGCCUGCUGUACACUUGGGACGACCCUACGCAGACCAGGGAAUUGAUCUGGAACGUUUACAAUAACAACGCGAUCGGCUAUAGAGCAGAAUUCGAAACGGACGGCUGCGGGCACGAGAGGGUGUCGUUUCUAACUGUGGAACGGCGUAACAGCGCGUCCAUGCACUCCUCCAUCAAUACCAAGUCGCUGUCAAACGCGAGAUCGUGGUCGGAGGAUACGAGCGGAAGUACCACUCACCUUGCUAACACGGAAUCCGAAUCGAAAGCACAAACGUUGGAGAAUAUGCGACAAGACGAAGCGGAGGUUUACUGGGUGAGCUACAUGGAGAGCGAGCAACGUGUGUUGCUGUUCACGCAGCACGAGAGCGUGUUCCUGAAAGCGAAGAGCAUUAUCGAUCCUGAAACCAGCAAGAGAGAGAUGUACUUGUCGAUCGCAGCGAUCGGAAUCAGCAUUGUCGUGCAAGAGUCCAGCGUCAGUCUCCACAGUUCUAGACGGGAAUUGCUGUAUGCUAGUAUGAUCGAUUCGUCGGCGCACUGGGAGCUUUACUUUAGCAAACGGUGGAAGAGCCUGUCGUUGGAGCUAAGCGCUUGGCUGGAAAACAAAUACAUGAGUUCCGCGAAGGGAGCUCAGCUGGAAAACUUAAUCGACGUUGACUUCACGAAGAUGCAGAUGACUAAACCGUUUUUCGGAAAGCUACGAAGAACGUAUUCGCCAGGUAUUUGGCUGCAUCGUAGGGAAUCCACGACACUCUGUUACCUCCAGGGAUACGUUCACAGGAUACAGAUCGAUAAUCAACUAAGCGAGGCUACCUUUCCGGUGGUUUUAUAUCCCAGCUUACAGAAGGGUUUCGUAAAUUACGCCGGUGGUCGUAGAUUGAAGCACUGCUUGGAGUUCUCAUACCUGAAGCAACGCAAACUGAGGAAUACUAUUUACAAAGGGAUAUGCGUGAUCGUCAGAGAGUUCAAUUUGAAUCUGGAAGAGACGUUCCUCUACUCCCUCAUCAAUCUGAUACCCAAGAUACCGGAGACCAAGCACUCGAUCGCUGCUAAACUCAGGAGAGACGUCUCCAAUAUGCGCGUGCCUUCACUUCACAAAAUCAGUAAUAACACCAACGGCAAGAGGAAAGAUCUGAUAGAGCAGAUAUACGUUUCCCCGAUGGUGUUGCGCUUGAAGUUACUGGCUAACACGGAAGGAAGCAACGCGCGCAAUUUCGACGACGUAGCGGACUAUCACAACAUCGUGCAGUUCGUCUUCGAGUACGCGGAGAAGGGCGUCUUCGAGAGGGACGUUAAGUUCAGAUUGCCCGGCUAUCGAAGAAGUUUCAUUGUCGUCGACAAUAAGCAAUUCCUCUCGCAUCUUUCGCGCACUUAUAUGGCGCAGAUCAUGGAACAGUUUCACGUACUGGUGCGCCUGACGACUGUCUUGGGGAAUCAGUACGGCUACAACUUCAAGUUGCCGGGCGGUGGCUUCUACGAGCCGGAUUUGCUACUGCUCUACGGUGACGAGACUGCGGAGAGAUUAGCGCACGAUGUCGCGUGUGAGUUAGGCUAUGUUACGCACGACGGCAUGCAGGUCUUUAACAGCCACGACACUCCCGCGACUCUUCAUCCCAAGGUGAAAGAUGCGAGUUACCCGAAUCCGGAUGUACCGCCGUUGGCGUUUUCAAUCGAUCACUCGUUCCUCACGGAGAUCGACCUGGAGGUCUCCGGCUUGAUCACAGCGUCGACGAACAGGCGCAAGAGAUGGGGCAUGGUUUCGUAUCCCGAGUGCGACUACCGCGGUACAUCAACCCGCACUUCGGCGUGGAGCUGUUCUCGACGCACAAAGCCAAGGGAGCGUACUUGUUGAACGCUAUAAGCAAAGGUCAUUGCGCUCAGAACGAUUUUUACUGGGGCCACGCUUCGCUCCACAACGACGGAAAGUACAUCACCCUCGUGUCUUUGCAACGGAUACACUACGUCGAGAAAGGAAGCGCCUGGGGAUCGUGGAAUGUGAAGUGGACUCUGGAAACCAAUCAGUUGCUGUCGCCGCCAACUGUCGCUAAAAAUAAGCUUAUUUUGCACGUAACGAAG
rnacentral:misc_RNA from 1 species